rnacentral:lncRNA from 10 species
CGGGGAUUAAAUUCAGGACUCCUUCAGAGAUAAGGGUUCUGUGUUGAGGAAUAAAGAAAGUAAUCACCCACUUAUGCCGGGAUCUUGGUGAGAAUGUCUUGCUAAGGGAUGCCUUGAUAAGAAUUGAGUUUUCCAAACUAUAGAGUUGAUUUAUUGGGUUAUUUUUAAAGUAUUUAUUAUCCACUAUUUAGAAGCACUUCAAAUCUUUGAGUAAAUAACUGAGGGGUUUAUAAAUGCAAACAUUUCAAUUAUAUAACCUUUUAAGAAUUGUUAAUUUCAAAAACAUCUAGAUAAGGAUGAACAGUCAGUUAUUUUAGCUAUUCAAUAUACAAGUGCAUGUAAUUAAUCAAGUAAAAUGGAAAUCAUUUGAAGAGAGGAAGACUUUCUUCAUGUUGUCAGUCUUAAGCCUAAUGAGAUCUGUUUGUAUAGUGCAGUGAGUAUGGACAAAAUGCGGUCGUAGCACAGAUACCAAAUACUUUUGUGUUUCAGAUCUUUUCUACAGUCCUCACUAAAGGCAAUACAUUAUAGCGAAUGAGGUUUUGAAAGUCGUCUAUAUUCAAAGAUGGGUAGACUUUAAUUUGUUGUCGUGAUUAUAACACAAGAAAUUCCAUCUUUUAAAUAUUUUCCCUUUGUAGGUUAGAAAAUGAUUCUGGCCUUUCCCGUAUCUGUUUCUUUUGUGCUUUUUUGCAUGUGAUAAUACUAAUAAUCCCAUCUUACAUUUGAGCUUUCCAGUUUUUUCUUGUCCAUCACCUUAUUUCAAGCCAAGAUAAUUUUAGAACAUUACUUCUUACACCAGCAGUUGCCUGACUGUACUGAUCUCACAAAAUAAGCAGGAAAGGAUGUUGAGAAAUGAAGUGAACGCCUGUGACCAAAUCAUCAAAGAACUAGAAGAGGGAAACUCCAGGACACAAAUACAUGUAAUGAAAGUUUGAUGGCAACAUGAUGACAUAGAAAAGAGCCCUGAACUGAAGAGCUCUGAAGAGUCCAAGGGGAGGAAACCCAAGGAGUCUUUACAGUGUUACUGGCCCAAGGGUAAAUUGAACUCCCCCAAGCCACUGAAGAUUGCUAAGGGUCUUCAUUUUGGCAAUAUAGAUCCAAAUAUUGUGAUAACAGAGGUUACCAAAGGACUUUGUCUCCAUUAUAUAGGUAAGUAAUGAUGAUGCCAAGCUUUUUCUGUGGUCUGUGCCAUGUUUCCUUCUAACAUGACAGCAGCAUCAAUACAGCAAGAAUAGUUUACCUUGGUGCUGGGUUUUACAUUAAGAUCCUGUGUGUUUGGACUUAAAAACUUUAGUCCACUUAGAAGCUACCAGCAACCUGAGCAAGAGGCCCUGUAGUUUUACGCCUCAAACCAGCGUAAGCACUGCUUUUCAACUAAUACAAAGAAAAGGAAUUGGGGAGGGAGGUCUUUCGAGUAACCAUGGAAGUGACUUUAAAGAAUUGCAGGUUGUCAUUUUGGCAACCAGAGGUGCAGUCUUCAGAGUGGAGGACUCUGUGUGGCAGAGCCAGGCCUUGACCCAGUGUGACCCCCUGAUAUCGGGAACCACAAGAGACUUGUGCAGCUGCCUGGCCUCCAACCGGCCUGGGAGGCUGGCCAUUCCAGGAAACUAGCAGUGAUGGUAUCAUUCCUAGGAGCAUGAUUCACCCAAGAAGAAUGAAAACUUUAGAGCCAUGAAGGCUGACUGUGGAGGAUGGAAGGCUCAUCUCAUUCAUCUUUCUUUCCUGAGCACCCAUCAGUAAAUAUUGCCUUAAGUGAGAUGUGCAAAUUCCAGCUGCUGCUCAGAACUGAUGGUUGUAUGGCCUGUAGAAAAUGUCUUCAUUUCUUUAAUAAUUUUUUGCAGCCUACAUAAAUUUUCUUUUUUCCCGGAUUGGCCCUUGUGCAAAAAAAACAUUGCUUCCCACAGUUAUAAGCCAUUAUAAAUGAUGUGUACUACUUCCUUAAUUUCCCAUCAUUUGGAGUCUAGUGAGGAGACACAGAUUAGUAGAUAAGGUCAAAUUCAACUCAAUAAAAGUUGGGGGUCACUUCAGUCCUGAGUCAGGUACCAGCCUGGCCCAGCGGAGCUUAGUAUGAAAGUACUUUAUGAGGUUGAACAUUUGUAUGGUAUUGUAUAGCAUGUUUAAAAAGCCUAUCACAUAGAUGAUCUCAUUUGACUUUCACUGUAAGUAAAACCAAGGUAUCAGUACUGGUAUCAGUGAUGAACAGACUCAUAUGGGUUCAGGAGCUCUCUCAUGAUGUCCCUCUGCCAGCUGGACAGGGUCCAGGGGCCUCAGAAAAACCAUAUUCUUCAGUUUAUGUGGGAUAUUGCACAUUUCUAGGACUGUGAGUGUUGAUGAGAGGGUAGGGGUGUGUGUACUUGGGAAGGAAACGCAUAAUUCAGGUGUUCCUGAACAAAUUGUGAUCUAGAUGGAGUCCAGCCUUUUUGAAUCUGGCUACAAUGCUAGUGAACUGUCCCAGGUUAAAGGAAUUUGGAUCAACCCCUGGUAUCAAUUUGGCACCAGGUUUGAUAUAUAGUAGAGGGAGCUGUUUAACAAGCCAUGUUCUUCAUCCUGUUGAUAAGGGAGAAACAGGAGAAUAUGAAGUCAUGUAAGGGAGUGUGAGUUGUCCAAAGCUGAAACAAUUUCAUUUGCUGAAGUGAUCUGAGGAUUAGCAUGUCUUUCUAUAAUACACAAAUAUAUUUAGCACAGUGCUUGGCACUUAGUAGGUACUCAAUACAUGUUAAUAAGGUAUUAUGGUAAUAAAUAAUAGAUUAUGCAUGGUCCUGUUAUGGUUUUUUAAAGUUUUUUCCUUAGUCUUGAGUUCUGAUUCCUAUAUUGCUUUUGGAUGCCAGGUUAUUCUAUGUGCUUAUUUGGUUCUUGAUGUACUAGUUAUGCAAUAAAAUCUGUUGAAGGAAUAAAUGAAAGAAGGAAGGCUUGCAGUGACACUUUGUAUUUACUUCUAAGGCAAUG